rnacentral:rRNA from 3 species
AGAGUUUGAUCAUGGCUCAGAUUGAACGCUGGCGGCAGGCCUAACACAUGCAAGUCGAACGGUAACAGGAAGCAGCUUGCUGCUUUGCUGACGAGUGGCGGACGGGUGAGUAAUGUCUGGGAAACUGCCUGAUGGAGGGGGAUAACUACUGGAAACGGUGGCUAAUACCGCAUAACGUCGCAAGACCAAAGAGGGGGACCUUCGGGCCUCUUGCCAUCAGAUGUGCCCAGAUGGGAUUAGCUUGUUGGUGAGGUAACGGCUCACCAAGGCGACGAUCCCUAGCUGGUCUGAGAGGAUGACCAGCCACACUGGAACUGAGACACGGUCCAGACUCCUACGGGAGGCAGCAGUGGGGAAUAUUGCACAAUGGGCGCAAGCCUGAUGCAGCCAUGCCGCGUGUAUGAAGAAGGCCUUCGGGUUGUAAAGUACUUUCAGCGGGGAGGAAGGUGUUGUGGUUAAUAACCGCAGCAAUUGACGUUACCCGCAGAAGAAGCACCGGCUAACUCCGUGCCAGCAGCCGCGGUAAUACGGAGGGUGCAAGCGUUAAUCGGAAUUACUGGGCGUAAAGCGCACGCAGGCGGUCUGUCAAGUCGGAUGUGAAAUCCCCGGGCUCAACCUGGGAACUGCAUUCGAAACUGGCAGGCUUGAGUCUUGUAGAGGGGGGUAGAAUUCCAGGUGUAGCGGUGAAAUGCGUAGAGAUCUGGAGGAAUACCGGUGGCGAAGGCGGCCCCCUGGACAAAGACUGACGCUCAGGUGCGAAAGCGUGGGGAGCAAACAGGAUUAGAUACCCUGGUAGUCCACGCCGUAAACGAUGUCUACUUGGAGGUUGUGCCCUUGAGGCGUGGCUUCCGGAGCUAACGCGUUAAGUAGACCGCCUGGGGAGUACGGCCGCAAGGUUAAAACUCAAAUGAAUUGACGGGGGCCCGCACAAGCGGUGGAGCAUGUGGUUUAAUUCGAUGCAACGCGAAGAACCUUACCUGGUCUUGACAUCCACAGAACUUUCCAGAGAUGGACUGGUGCCUUCGGGAACCGUGAGACAGGUGCUGCAUGGCUGUCGUCAGCUCGUGUUGUGAAAUGUUGGGUUAAGUCCCGCAACGAGCGCAACCCUUAUCCUUUGUUGCCAGCGAUUAGGUCGGGAACUCAAAGGAGACUGCCAGUGAUAAACUGGAGGAAGGUGGGGAUGACGUCAAGUCAUCAUGGCCCUUACGACCAGGGCUACACACGUGCUACAAUGGCGCAUACAAAGAGAAGCGACCUCGCGAGAGCAAGCGGACCUCAUAAAGUGCGUCGUAGUCCGGAUUGGAGUCUGCAACUCGACUCCAUGAAGUCGGAAUCGCUAGUAAUCGUGGAUCAGAAUGCCACGGUGAAUACGUUCCCGGGCCUUGUACACACCGCCCGUCACACCAUGGGAGUGGGUUGCAAAAGAAGUAGGUAGCUUAACCUUCGGGAGAGCGCUUACCACUUUGUGAUUCAUGACUGGGGUGAAGUCGUAACAAGGUAACCGUAGGGGAACCUGCGGUUG